rnacentral:misc_RNA from 1 species
AUGUCUUUUGCAAAAUUUUAAUGAUAUUAGUAAAUAACACGUAGGAUUGAAUUACUUAUAAAAAUAUGCGAUUUACCAUUUAGUGAUUGUGUACAGAACAUUUUUUUAUGUUUUAGGAUUCCGUUGUUAAGAUAAUAUUUAGCCAUAAGUCCCGAAACUUGGCAUUGACACAUUUAUUGCAAGCCAGAUAAUGUCAAGCUCACUUUUUUAGGUUCUCCAUUUAUACAACUCGAACCCUAAAUGGAGUUGGAGUUGGAAGAUACUUUGUUACGCGAUGAGGAUCAGCCAUCCGAACAGACGUCUAAGAACGCCAGCCCAGUUCUCAAGCGAAAAAAUGAUAAAUCACGAGAAGAAAAAGGGGAGACGAUGGCAAAGGAUGAUCGAGACUACGACGAGUCUAUAGUGUCGCUGAUGCGUAACUACAAUAGCAAACUUAGUGGCGAGGAUGACACGUCGCAACCGACGUCACGCGCCGCGCCUAUUGUCACUUCCGAACCUACCCGCAAGAAAAAGAAGCGAAAGAGAUCCCAGAUAUCGAUAUGCCUCACAAACUGCCGGUAUGAGUCCAUCCGACGAGUGUCCAGCGCCUUCGGCAUGCGAGAGGUGUCCGAAGAAGACGCGUGGAACUUCUACUGGACUGACAUGAGCGUCUCUGUCGAGCGGGCCAAGGAGAUGAAGCGGUUCCAGCGUAUCAACCACUUUCCGGGCAUGCUAGAGAUUUGUCGGAAAGAUCUCCUUGCUCGGAAUUUAAACAGAAUGCAAAAGAUAUACCCGAAGGAGUACAAUUUCUUUCCGAAAACUUGGUGUCUCCCAGCAGAUUUUGGUGAAGCUCUCACGUAUAGCAAGUCGCGGAAAAAUAAGACGUUUAUAAUAAAACCUGAGUGCGGCAGCCAGGGCCGUGGAAUCUAUUUAACGAAAUCGCUGAAGGACAUUAAACCUACUGACAAACUUAUUUGCCAGGUUUACCUCGCCAAGCCAUAUUUAGUCGACGGGUACAAAUUCGAUAUCCGCGUCUACACCCUGAUAACUUCCUGCGAUCCUUUAAGGAUAUUUGUUUACAAUGAAGGUCUUGUUAGGUUCGCCACAUCGCGCUACGCCGACCCGAACGUGAACAACACGACCAACGUGUUCAUGCACCUCACCAACUACGCGCUCAACAAGCACAGCCGGACCUACGUGUACGACUCGGAGGCAGGCAGCAAGCGCAAGAUAUCGACUCUCAACAAGAUCCUGCUCUCGCAAGGCGUGGAUCUGGACGCGCUGUGGCAUUCCAUCGACCAAGUGAUCGUGAAGACUGUCAUCUCCGCCUGGCCCAUUCUCAAGCACAGCUACCAUGCGUGCUUCCCCUCACACGACAUGGUUCACGCUUGCUUCGAAAUUCUCGGCUUCGACAUCCUGUUGGAUCACAAGCUUCACCCGUUUAUUUUAGAGGUGAACCAUUCUCCGAGUUUCCACACGGACACGCAGCUCGAUCGCGAGGUGAAAGAGGGCCUUCUGACGGACACGUUCACUAUGCUCAACAUCUGGCAGUGCGACAAGCGACGAGUGCUUGAAGAAGACCGCCGUCGCAUCCGUGAUCGGCUGCUGCAGACUAACAAGUUCUCGGAGGUCGUUUCCGGCGAAGAAAAGGAGCCAGAGAAAACCCCGUGGCAGACGCAGAUUCAGUGGGAGGAAACGCACUUGGGCAACUUUAGACGCGUAUACCCCGUGGGCGAGCAGUACGCGUGCCUGUUCCAGCAGCCCUCCGGCUCGCUAUACACUGGUACAGCGUCGUCCCGCGCCCGAGGCGACUGCACGCGCCUGCAGCGCGAGGAGUUCCAGCAAACAAAAGCGAAAGCAGAAGCUCUCCUCAAAACAAAACCACCAGGCAAGCCAGCCAAGGACAAUGAGAAGAGAGCCCCGGAUGAAGCCAGCGUGGCCUCCACCAGCGAGAAAACGGCCAAGUCCAAGAAGACGGAAGGCGUGGCCAAAAAGAUGGAGAAUAGAAAGCUGUCUGGGAAGCCGUCGCCUUCGAUUCUCCCGACGGUGGAGGAGAAAGAAGUGAAGCCGACGUACGUGCUGUGCUCGUUCGAGCCGGAUCCCAUUGUGGAGAAGGAGGAGCGCGAACGCGUUAACCAGCUGGCGCAGCGGGACUUCCUCAUACGAAGCUAUGAUCUAUCUUGUGAUGAAGAAAAUGGGCACAUUAAGGCCCGAGGACGAGCGCAAAUACGGCGUUUAUGGUCGUCUGUCUAUCGUCUCCAACUCGCCUAAGGACUGGUCGUGAAUUGCCGUCUGGCCGUGAUGGCGGCGCGGGACGUGUAAAGUCGUCGCAUCACACUGCCACUAUCAUAAGCAACGCUGAUAUCAUUUCUCACAGAAACGUUUGUGCCCCAAGUUGAUGUUAAUCUGCGAG